AUUCCCCCGAAACCCUACCACUACCCUACCACUACUGUUCCCCCAUCCCUCCUCUUCCUUUGCCCUGCCCUGCCCUAGCGCCGCCGCCGCUUUUCCUUCCCUCCCCGGCUUCUCUUCGCCGGCGACGACGAUGCGGUGCGGUGUCUCCGGCUCAGAUUCUCAAGAAUUCUCGAGCUCUCCAUGUCAAGUAGAGGGAGUGGACGGUGCGGUCUGUUCCCCGAAACCCUAGCCACCACUAUUCCCCCACCCUUCUCUCGCUCUCUCCCCUGACCUUUGCGACGGCGCAGCCUCGACCUCGACUUGCCCUCCUCUUCUCAACGCCGCCGCCGCCAGCCUUCCUCGCAUGCCCUCCUCUGACCUACCCCAUAUCCUGGAGCUCUCCCUACCAAUGCUCCCUUCUCUCUCUCUCUCUCUCUCUCUCUCUCUCUCUCUUUCUCCCCUCAGUUGAGCUAGCUCCGGGGAAUGUGGUGAUGGAGAUCAAUGGUGAGGGGGAUCAAUCCGCUAGCCCGGUGCUUGAUUUGGUGGAUAGGCGCACUCAAUCUUGAAUCCGGUGGUGUUGUGCUCAGCUCGGGCAUGAGGGGGUUGAUCCAGAACUGUGGAUUGAACUCAAGAUGGUGAUGGUGAGGCAAGAGCUCCACGGUGGGGUGGCAUCUCUUGCUCAAGCUUAAGGAUCCGCCGUUGUGCGCGCCAUCAUCACUAUUCAUCGGUUCUACAUCUAGGCGGUAGGUCAGAUUGAAACCACAUGCCGUCGCAUAGAAAAACUUCAUUUGCAGUUGGGAUGCCGUCCUCACUUCCGGUGAGUCAAAGCAUCAAUCUCUUUCUCUGUAGACUUGCCUCAUGUAUAGCUGGCAUGCAUCUUCUUUUUCCUGCUUCCCUGGGUUCCCUGCUCACACUGUGAUUCUAACAUCCCAAUCUGAACAGGCAAACUGUCAAACUUCGUUUUUUUUUUCAUGUAUCAUUCUUCUAUUCACAAUGAUAAACAUUGAUAGCCUAUCAAAUUUCUUUAUCAUAAGUGCUAGAAUAUUUCUGAUUUGUACUGCAUCUCAAAUUGUACAUGCGUGUGAGCUAUCAAGCUUGAUCAAGUAACGGGAAUUUCGUAAUAUUUGUUUAAAUUUGAUUAAUUUUUGUUCAAAAUGUUGGAAAUUUCGGACCGAAAUUUCUAGAAAUUUCGCCAUAUUGGCACUCCCAAUACAAAUACCGAAAGCAAAAACGAAAGAUUGAACCCUGGCUAUGAGCCUGUGAGCUGCUUGCUGUGCAAAUCCAUGAGUUGUUUUUCCACUGAACAAUCACUAAAGCGCCGAAGGAAUCAUUCACAAUGUCCGUAAAACAUUUGCCCUGCUUUAGAUGCUCAGAGUAGCUCUCUCGCAUUUACUGAAUGCAUCCAUGUUUCAUACUGUCCAGCACAAAGAUAGGGUGCCGCAAAGGUAAAUUCUAUUUUUAGGUGCCCUCUAGCUGUUUGAUGUAUUUCUCUACAGAAUCAAAUGCAAAUAUGAAGGGUCAUCGCCACUUCAAAAUUCAGGAGUACACCUCAGGCACUGUGGGAAGUGGGACAUAUGGAUCACCAGCCAUGCCGCAUGGUCAACAUCAAGGCCAUGGCAUUCGUUCAAAAAAAAAAACAUCAAGGCCAUGGCCGUUGAAGGUGGAUCACCGUCCAAGCUUAGUCAACGUCAAUAAUUUCAUAUAUCUCCAUAACAAACUGUGUGGUUUUGUAUAACUUGCAAGGAACCAAUAAACUUACCCUCCUAUGUUUCGUAUCUUAUAUUGUGCUAGCUCAAACUAUCUUUGAUGUAUCUUUACAUGAGCAUGCUUAGUUCUAUCGUACUUAAUUUUAUGAUCUACAAUCGUUAGGCCA